UUUGAGGUUUUCAGAGACCCCAAACUCACCUUCUGCUGCCGAAAAAAGCAGAUUUAGUUCUGAAGGUUAAUCCAACUCAGCAGGAUUGAAGGAUGGCACUUUUCCUUGGUCUGAAACUCGCGUUUCUCCACCUUUGCUUUUACCUGUGGACACCCAUGGCCUUCUGCAGGUAGGGGCCCAAACGGACCCGACCUGCCACCCACUGUAAGAUGAAAGAGAGGAGAGAAUCCACAGAGCCCCACAUGACAAGUUCUAACACUGAAAUGGGUUGGAUUGUGAAAAUUCCGACCACCUGGAGUCUGUCAGAAGAAAUUUAGCACGGGUAAAUCCUUCUUUGGGCAAUGGAGAAAAUCACAGCAACCUUGCCUCGUAUCCAGCAUCAAUAGACUCAUGCCCAUGGGAGAAAGUGAAGAUAAUCAUGAGAAAUCUAGGACAGUAUAGUGUACCAAUUAAGAACACAACAAGAAUAAACUAAUUACUUAGCAAUGUAAAUAAUAUGA